GUUUGGGCUCCAAAGAAAAUAAAGCCGCCGGCCCGAGCAGUUCUUCCCCAAAUCGACCAUCCCUCCAACAACCUUACCACCGCCUUUCCAAACCCUAGAUCUGGGCAGUCCGUUCUUCCCCUUCCCCGUGCGCCGCCGCCACUACAUCUCUUCCUCUCCCUCUCCGAUCCACACACGCCCUGCUACGGCCUCACCUCGCUGGCCUGCCUUUGGAUGGAACCGUCCUGGCCUAGUCCUUGCCAGAUCUGGCCGCACCGGUCGUCGGUGCUGCUGGAUAUGGCCGCUCCGGGCCUCAUCACCACCACCCCAAGUGUGCACCUCUCCACCGCCACUUCCCCGUCGUCUUCACAUCCGCCUCGCCCAGUUCCAGAGUAGUCGCGUGUCUCCCGAGGAGCCCGACCCCGGCGGCCUCUCCAUGGACUCCCUCCACCAUAGCUAAGGCAGCGCCACUGCAUCCAGAACACGGUUCAACCUCCAGAACGCUUGUGGCAAGCACCAGAUCGUGAGUUCAAGUAGGUCAACCGCGAGUUGCAUCUACAUCGACAGGUUCUCUUCUUCUUUGUGGGCCUGCACCUUCCACGUGGGCUGUGGAGGACGGAUGGCGCUGUGCUGUUCGGGCUGCAACAUGACGGGCAGCGGUUCUACGUCCCCUCUCAGAGCAGCUCUUUCAUGUUAUUCCAAGAAACAAGCUUUACAAACCGAACUGAGUUCACUAGAACUCGAAGUCUUGUGCAUGGAAGAGAAUUGAGAUAUUUGCUCAUUCUAUACUACUCAAAAUGUAUGUGUAGAUAUUCUUCUCAUUCUGGUUCAUGAUGCUUCUUAAUUAAGGUCUCUUUUAUGAGGUUCUUCCUUUUGCAAAUAAUAUGAUUAUGUAGCAACUUGGUUUCACGGCUUUGGAUCUCAUAUCACUAGACUAUAUGUUGAAAUGUUUGCUGUUCUUUGCUUAAUAAUGAUAGCAGCUUUGCAAAUAACAAGAACUUCAAGUAUUUUGGAAUGGAGGAAGUAGUAGUUAGUGUGGAUUAAAUUCCAGUUGCAAUGUUUUUAUCUUGUGUGAGCAUGCUUUUCGUGUCCAGAGAAUUGUUGGUGAAAGUGACUUGAAGUUGACACAACUUUGCCAGUUUGAAUAUUAUACCGUCAUGUUUUUCAGGACCGCAAGCAAUUACAUACUUAUAAUACAAUGUAUCCUUAUUGUCUCUGUCACAUUCUUUGUACAGUUUAUUUAUUGUUAAAGUUGUAAAGCAGUGCUUCCACAAUUAGUAAAAUUUACUAGAGAAAAUACGAAUGUUUAGUCAACUACAUAUUCUGACUUGUAAACAGAAGUAUUGCUUGUUUUACUUACUGCAGAAGGGCACAUGUUGUCUCACGUGACUUGAUCGUCCUAAUCUUAUAGGUUGUCUGCAUAGGCCUCGUGGCACCAUUGUCUAGGGCUUGUUUGCUGUUGCCCACUUGUACCUCAUGGAAGCCUCAAGCGUGGAAGCCAGCGCACAUAUACACACUCAUUCAGGCUCAGGCAUGAACCAAGGAAAAGUUCACAGCAGAAAACUGAAGCUCUAGCAUGUGUGCCAGCCGAUGAAGCUCGCCUUAACCCAUCGCUCAUUGCUAAGGUACCGGCACAUGCUACUCUAUCUGUUGUAUGUUGAGCCAGAAUGUAUGCUACUCUAUCUGUUGUAUGUUGAGCCAGAAUGUAUUUGCCUGACUGAUCAUAAUCCUUGUCUGGUAGGAAACUUAUGGUAUCCAGUACAAAGAUGCCAAAGUUUCGAUAUAAAUUUUGCUAAUUUAUAAUGGUGGCUUCAAAUUAUAGUGAACUAUAUAGGCGGUAGGCGCUCACAUCCUAUUGGCCUUCGGUGACAUUUUGAGCUCUUAUCUGCUGUCUUUAAUUGUUAGUGUGUACCAUCCAACAAAAUUAGCUCUAGUGCUUGGUGUGAAUUUUUUAUGGUUAUUUAGUUUAUUUCAUUGUACAAUGCAUGGUGCUAUGUUUCAUAAGUAUACACAUGCUAUGCUUGGCAUGCAGUUUUGGUGGAAAAAGGAAGCAUAUCAUGCUUACAAAUUGUUUGACCUUGCAUUUUAUUGCUUACUGUUUACUAUACAUUAGUAUUUGUACUUGGAAGUGUCAAAAAUCUGUCAUUAUAAUCAGCUGUAGUAAUAUUGCUAUAGAUAUACACACACUGAAAGUCUGAAAGAUUUCUUGUAAAAGUACAUGUCAGCUGCCAUAUCCUUUCCUAUGUCCUGUUCAGUUUUUUUAAUCUUCUCUUGGUUUGAUGUUAUGAUUUUUGUUACAUAGUUCAUAGAUGUUGCUGGUUUGUACUUUGAAAAUAUUUAAAGUUAUUUUUUUUCUCUUGUUCAAAAUGUUCUGUAUCAAGCUCGUAAGUUUAAGGAUGAGAUUGUUGAAUGCUACAAAAUUUCAUACCUUUGAUUUCAUAAUUCUAUAAAUUCAACCAUUCUAAACUAAACCAACCAGAUCAUAUCCUUAAUUAAUGGGUUUGUAGGUUAAGGGUGGAUACUCAGAAGUAUUUCGGUUGUGUAAGUUCUCGACAUGUUAAUUCGUUCUAGAGUCUCCCUUUUCCUUUCUUUUUACAAUUGUCAUGAUUUUAUAUGGCCUUAGUCAAUCUGUUGUGUCUGGUCUGAUUUGUUAGAUAACUACAAUGUGUGAUGAAUUCUUCAAUUGAUUAGGAAGGCUAGAUGUGUAAAACUUUGUUUAUGGAGCUUGCACAUGAGCAUAUCCAUUUCACCAAAUGAAGAUAAAAGACUCAUGUUCUUGAUGUUUGAACUGGGGAUCCCAUGGAAUUUUUUUUCUGUAACAUGGUUCUCAUCUCUGAACAUGCACACAUGUUGUUUUCAUGUUAAGAUAUUUUUAAAACAAAAUACAGUAACUGACAUCUGUUUCAUUAGCUUUUUAUACUAAUGUUUUACUUCUCUGAACUAAAUUCUUGCAAAUCACAUUGAUCUAGUUGCAGGUCUUCCAUAUACAUCCACAAUCAUGUGGAGGUGUGGUUAAGCUGUGAUCUUUAAAGCAUUGCAAGUAUGGUAACUCUUUGAAUGUUGUUGUUUUACAAGAUGUUGGCAAGUUUGGUAUUUACUAUUUUGAAGACAUCGCAGGAAGUUAUUCAACAAACGGUUGCGACCAAGCAAUUUGUCUUCCUGGACAUGGCUCCUUCUGUGCAUCAAAGCUCGAACCAUUUGUCUAGCUUAGUUUGAAGAAAAAUAAAAUCUUAGUCUUAUGUAAAUUCUGUUUAUUGAUGUAGCUAGAUGCAACUCUACGCACAUAUGUGUUUUGUCAGUUCUGUUUAUUGAUGUAGCUGGAUGUUACUGAACGCAUGUAGGUCUUGUGUAAAUUCUGUUUAUUGAUGUAGCUGGAUGCUACUGAACGCUUGAAUGAAUGUUGAAGUAUUGAUA